rnacentral:tRNA from 1 species
UGGGGUAUAGCUCAGUGGUAGAGCACACGCUUAGCAUACAUGAGGUCCUGGGUUAAAUCCCCAGUACCUCCA